UACGAAGGGGGCUAGCGUUGUUCGGAAUUACUGGGCGUAAAGCGCGCGCAGGCGGUCUUCCAAGUCAGUGGUGAAAGCCCGGAGCUCAACUCCGGAAUUGCCAUUGAAACUGUUAGACUUGAGGAUGAGAGGGGUGAGUGGAAUUCCCAGUGUAGAGGUGAAAUUCGUAGAUAUUGGGAAGAACACCGGUGGCGAAGGCGGCUCACUGGCUCAUUACUGACGCUCAGGCGCGAUAGCGUGGGGAUCAAACAGG
rnacentral:rRNA from 1 species